CAAUAGCGUCCUCCAUUUCCUUAAUUCUGUAAUUUUAAGAAUAAGGAAAAAUAAUGAGGUGAUAAACUAUAGUUUUGAUUAUAAGACUCGUAAUAGUUUUUAACUUCAUUUAAAAUAACAAGUAUUUUUAUCGUGACCCCGAACCAAUAUGUAGCAUUAUAGUACCUAUCUCUAUCCUGAAACAGCCAUGCGUCCAGAUUUAAAAAGUUUAGCAGCAGUUCUACAAUAAAAGUGAUACUAUGAUCUAAUGCCUCAACAUGGGCAGCGGUAGUCGUGUUAUGAUGUCUAUGGGCUCCUGUAAUUUAAGAAAACGCGUUUUACCAGAAAAAUGUUACUGAGUACUCGAGGUGGGUCGCGGCAUUUACGUUGUUCAUAUCUAUGAGCUCCGGUGAGCACUAAACACCAGGUUUUUUUUUCUAUUGCCCUUGAAGGCUGACGAGCAUACGGCCCACCUGAUGGUGAGUGGUUACCGUCGCCCAUGGACUUCAGCAAUGCCAGGGGCAGAGCCAAGCCGCUGCUGGUGGAUUGCGAGCUCGUUCGACAUUAGAAAUAAUGAGAUAAAACUGUUAAGUCUAUGACACGCGAAACCCGAAAAAAAUACUACAACUAGAUUCACUCGUACAUUCAAUCGCGUACCUUUGGAACGUUAGUGAAAGAACGUCUUCUUCAUUUAGUGUGAUGCCAUAAUGAACUCGCAGAUAGUUUGAAACAAACGAUGUUUUCUCAUUCACCACACCCAAUUCACCGAGCGUAGUAUUCUCAUCAGAGAUUCGAGUUACGUCAACAUCUAAAAAAAAUUCAUAAAGUUAAUUAGUUGAUGUUGCAGCUUUAUUAUAAUCGAAUCAGGUAUUUCUUAAAAGCUCGCACGGAAUAAUAACCCAAUCUUGUUUCUUACGAGGCAAUCAUAACUUAAAUUGUAGGACAGUCGGUAUAUUAAAAUUUGUAUGGGAUUUUCAUUUUAUUUGUAUAGGCUAGCAAGUAGCUUGUGUGCCAAUCGAUGACAAUGGAGAAAAAUAUUUUAAUAAUAACUUAGUUUACUUUUCAAAAAUGUACAAGAGACAGAAUCCAAUUGAUGACAAAAUAGAUACAAGUAUCAAUUCUGCUGACAAUGCUGUCAUUUGGACAAAAUUUAGAAAAUAAGAAAUUAUGUUUACCAGUUAUAGCACAUAAUUGUUGCAGCAGCGACUGUUGAGAAGAACUAGGGAACGCAACCACCGAAUUAUCUCCGGAACAAAGCGCAGCCUCCGUCGCUUCUACAUACAGACGGCUGCUUGGAAAAUUAUGUGUGUCGAGGUCCUUUGAAAAAUAAUGGCUUUAUCUAACUAGCUGUUUUAUUAAAUAUUACAUUCAACUAUUAUAAGAAGGAUACGAAGAAUGAUAUUGAUUCUGUACAAAUUCAUGCUAUACAUGGUAUCGUCCACAAAAAUAAAGAAAGAUUGGCGAUGUGGUUUCUGCCUAGGGUAGUAUAAUUAUAUUGCUUCAUGAAUAUUGCAAACGCCAGCUGGAAGAUUUGCUAGGAAAUGGAUAUGCGUUAUAUCAGGAUGCUGCGGUCUUCAACUGGAAUUUACUGGUGGUAAGACGUACCGCACAGCUACACAGUAAGCAUGAUCUCCUACUCAACUACGUCACAAAACAAUCUACCUGAGUUUGUUCGAGGGUGGAAAUUCAUCGAGCUUCAAGAGGAUCCGUCCACGGUGCUGUCUGGUCGCCAGCAACCGAAAGGCGCGGGAAACUUCAGAAGGACCAUAUUUCACUCGUGACAAAGGACGAACGUAACCACGGGAUAUUCCUUCACUUAACGAUGAGUGUAACAUCUAGAACAUAACAGAUACUUUAUAUGAGGGCUUAUGAUUGAAAAUAAUAUUUUAAGACUAGUCCUUAAAGGUCAAUUUAGCUUCGCACAGUGCAGAUAGUAUGACUGUUAGACGAGUUCUUUGUUAGAAAACAAAACAAGCAUCAAAUAAAUAAUGAAUUUCCU